CCCUUUGUACACACCGCCCGUC
rnacentral:ncRNA from 2 species